CUUGUGUGGUGCAUCACUGCAUGCUCAGGAGUUCAGUAGCUUGCAACACAACAUGAGGAUUCUGUGUCUUAUACUACUGGUGGUGUGUGUGAUGAUGUCGAAGGCCGCGGACCCUGUGCCCUGCACCAUCAACCAGCUGCUUUCUGUGUUCCAACCAGCGCUGGAAAGCGUAGACCAGAAAUAUAAGGACGACUUCAUUCAGUUCCUACAAAAACUCCUGUCAGGUUCAAUUUGAAGAG
rnacentral:lncRNA from 1 species